GGGGGAAAUUGAAUAAAAUAAGCGGUGGGUUGUAGAGUUGGUGAGUGCCGACGGCCGACGCUGUCAACUUCGGUUUAUUAAAGCAAAAAGACCAAGGGGGGGGAGAUGCCUCGGGGGUUCAAGAAGUGAAACGUGGUCUAUUUGUUUGACACGUGUAAAACCUCUUAAUUACGUAGAUCUCUGCGGUGGCACCUGAGAUGAAUUGAUUUAAUAAGAGUAAUCUGUAAAAUAGAAAUGAAAAGAGGAAAUAAAAAGAAAAGUGGUGGGAGGUGGUACCCAGAGGGCAGUGAAACGUGUGGGUGAGGUGGGGAGGAGUG
rnacentral:lncRNA from 1 species